UGUUCUCUUACAAAACAAACAAAAACCCCAGCUAAUGAUUAGAAUAGCUAAAUAUAUUGCAAAUGUACUAUUCAAAGAUUUUCCUCACAUGACUGGGUCUCUUAAAGCAAAUUAAAAUUUCAAUCAUCCUAAAUGUAAAAAUCUUACAUAUCUAACAUAUUCUUGAGCAGUCAGAACUUAGUUCAAAUUGGAAUUUACUUAUGGUUAACUACAUGUCAACUUGGCUACUCCAUGAUGCCCAGUUGUUUGGUUAAACACUAGUCUAGAUAUAUGUAAUUAACAUUUACAAUCAGUAAAACUAUCCUUCAUAAUCUGGGUGGAUCUCAUCCAAUCAGUUAAAGACAAUAGGAGCAAAGAGUGUGGUUUCCCAAAAAAACAAUUCUGCCUCAAGACUGCAACAGAGAACUGCCUGAGUUUUCAGCCUGCGGACCGCCCUGUAGAUUUUGGACUCAAGGCUGCACAUCAGCGCUUACCUGAUUUCCAGCUGGAUUGUCCUACAAAUGUCAGACUUGUCAGCCCCCACAAUUGUAUAAAAAUCUGAGAUAACUUUUCAUCUACUCUCUGAAAUAAGAUUUCAUCAGAGGUCAUGAGCCUGCCCGAGAGGAAAGAUGAACACAGUCCUGCUCUUAAUGAUGCCAAGGUUAAGCUUUCCUAACAUUGAUCAUGUUAGGGCUGAAAGCAAAGGGAACAGCCAUAAGGAGAAAUGUAACAAGACAGGUAACACAUGCUGGGUACCAAAGAAGGGGUUGGGCAACAAGUUCUGAAAGGCCUCCCAGGAGUAGGGGUUGCCGGAGGCAGAGCUUGAGCUGGACCUGGAAAGGCAAAUAGCAACACUUAAAAGGAGAAGAGGACCAGGAAAACCAUGAGCAAAAGGCAGCAGCAAGCUGUGCAAGGCAAGUAAGGGAUGGGAAUCCAGCCAGUAUGACCAGAUGACGGCAAGGAAUUAGAUCAGUCGGUACAGGUGAUUAUCAGCAAGACAGCCCUGGACAGCUGCAAUGCUGACACCUUACAGGAGGAACCAGUCUUUCCUCUUCCAGCAUUCCAAGCCACAAGAUGAGUAACCAAAGAAUAGAAACUAAAAACCCUCCAGGAGUUUGUACUGUGCUAGGAAGGUAGUUUCCUCCCUCCUCUCUGCUCUCUCCACCCUUCCUGUACCAGUUACUGGCCCUCCCCAGCUUCUCUCUCCCUCCCUCUUACCGGGCUGACCUCUCUGUAGACCUGACUGGUUUUCCCUCUUCAUCUCUUCUUCUAAAUGGCAAGCCAUUUGCAUCUAAGGAGAGGCCUACAUUUGUUCAACUAUCUCUGGAUGGGCAAGUUUAAUUUUCUGAGCAAAGGGUGAGUGUUACAGCCAGUAGUCAGAUCCAGUGCUACUGGUAUUAACACGCAUUUUGCCCCUUCUGCUUCCUGGGUAGAUGCGAGCUGGUCUGGAACACUGAAGGGAAAGAAAGGAGCACAACUCUCAUCUCCUUAAAAACCAAACACUGAGCUGCUAUGAUUUGUCUUUACAGCAAAACCAAAGGGAUGUUAAGAUGAAUCAACAGGAAUACAUCUUCAUUUCUCAGUCUUGUGAAGAAGUUUAGGAACUUUUUUUUAAAAAGUCUUUUUAAAAAUAUACUAUAGCACAAAAUUCAAAAGGAAUAGGGCAAAAAGUCUUCCUUGCACCUAACCCUCCAGUUAGCCAGUACUCCCCAUGGGCAACAUUAUCACUUUAUUAUUUAUCCUUCUAGGGUUAUUUUAUUUGUAUACAAGCAGGUAUGUGUAUUUUUUAACCAAAAGGUAGA